UCAAGGAGAAAGCACUAGCUCCACCUUCAGCACCCAAAGCUGAAAUUCUAUUUAAACUACUCCUUG
rnacentral:tRNA from 1 species